CUUCCUGGGGACAUUCACUUAGGUGGAUGGGUGCCUGAUGGACAAGGGCAUGGCCAGAAGGAUGAUUGGAAGAACGGAUGCAUGUGUGGAUGGAUGGAAGGAGGAAGGUGUAGAUGGGCGGGUGGAUGGAAGGAGGAAGGUGUAGACGGGUGGGUGGAUGGAAGGAGAAAGGCAUAGAUGGGCGGGUGGAUGGAUGGAAGGAGGAAGGUGUAGACGGGUGGGUGGAUGGAAGGAGGAAGGUGUAGACGGGUGGGUGGAUGGAAGGAGGAAGGUGUAGAUGGGUGGGUGGAUGGAAGGAGGAAGGUGUAGACGGGUGGGUGGAUGGAAGGAGAAAGGCGUAGAUGGGCGGGUGGAUGGAUGGAAGGAGGAAGGUGUAGACGGGCGGGUGGAUGGAAGGAGAAAGGCAUAGAUGGGCGGGUGGAUGGAUGGAAGGAGGAAGGUGUAGACGGGUGGGUGGAUGGAAGGAGAAAGGUGUAGAUGGGCGGGUGGAUGGAAGGAGAAAGGCAUAGAUGGGCGGGUGGAUGGAAGGAGGAAGGUGUAGACGGGUGGGUGGAUGGAAGGAGAAAGGCAUAGAUGGGCGGGUGGAUGGAAGGAGGAAGG
rnacentral:lncRNA from 1 species